rnacentral:rRNA from 1 species
UGCGAAGGUAGCAUAAUCAUUAGCCUUUUGAUUUGGGGCUGGAAUGAAUGGUUUGACGAGAGAUGGUCUGUCUCUUCGAUUAAAUUGAAGUUAAUCUUUAAGUGAAAAAGCUUAAAUGUACUUGGAGGGCGAUAAGACCCUAUAGAUCUUUACAUUUAAUUCUUUUGUCUUGCGGUAGGUAAUUAGACAGAGUAAAACAAUGUUCGGUUGGGGCGACGGUUAGAACAGAAUAAACACUUACAACAUAAAUACAUCAAUAAAUGACCAUUGAUCCUUAGAUGAAUAAAGACCAAGUUACCUUAGGGAUAACAGCGUAAUUCUUUUUGAGAGUUCAAAUCGACAAAAGAGUUUGCGACCUCGAUGUUGGUUCAGGGACCCUACUCGGUGCAGCAGCCUAGAGAGGCAGUCUGUUCGACUGUUAAACCCC